rnacentral:rRNA from 1 species
CCUGGUGUCAGCCGCCGCGGUAAAACCAGCUCUCCGAGUGGUGGGGACGAUUAUUGGGCUUAAAGCGUUCGUAGCCGGCUCAGCAAGUCUUCCGUUAAAUCCAGCGAUCUAAUCGUUGGACUGCGGAAGAUACUGUUGGGCUAGGGGACGGGAGAAGCCGACGGUAUUCUCGGGGUAGGGGCGAAAUCCUAUAAUCCCGGGAGGACCACCAGUGGCGAAGGCGGUCGGCUAGAACGCGCCCGACGGUGAGGGACGAAAGCUGGGGGAGCGAACCGGAUUAGAUACCCGGGUAGUCCCAGCUGUAAACUAUGCGGGCUAGGUGUCAGUGUGGCUACGAGCCACUCUGGUGCCGCAGGGAAGCUCAUAA